GGAAUCGUACCUAACAACUCAAAACUCUGUUGUAUUCCAAACUCGGGAUACAACUAAAUACAUAAAAGUAGGUUUAUGGAAUCGUUUAUAACAAUGAAGUAACUGUGUUUUAGUCAAAGUCCGGAUACAACGGAAUACACAAAACUAGGUUAAUGGAAUCGUUCAUAACGACGCACUAAUUCUCUUGUAGUUCAAAGUCCGGAUACAACGAAAUACACAAAAUUAGGUUUUUGGAAUCGUUCAUAAUGAUGCACUAACUGAGUUUUAGUUCCAAAGUUGGGAUGCAACGAAAUACACGAAACUAUGUUUAUGGAGUCGUUCCUAACGACGCACAAAAUCUUUUGUAGUUCAAAGUCCGGAUACAACGAAAUACACAAAAGUAGGUUUAUGGAAACCUUCAAACAAACCAAUAACUAUGUUGUAGUUCCAAAGUCCGGUUACAACGAAAUACAGGAAACUAGGUUUAUGGAAUCAAAUAUAAAUAAGCACUAACAGAGUUUUAGUUCCAAAGUCCGUAUACUACGAAAUACACAAAACUAGGUUUAUGGAAUCGUUCAUAACGACCCACUAACUCUCUUGUAGUUUAAGAUCCGGAUAUAUCGAAAUACACAAAACUAGGUUUAUGGAAUCGUUCAUAACGACCCACUAACUCUCUUGUAGUUUAAGAUCCGGAUAUAUCGAAAUACACAAAACUAGGUUUUUGGAAUCGUUUAUAACAACCCAAUAACACUGUUGUAGUUCCAAAGUCCAUAUACAACGAAAUACACAAAACCAGGUUUAUGGAAAAUUUCAAACAACUCAAUAACUCUGUUGUAGUUCCAACGUCAGGAUACAUCGAAAUACAAGGAACUAGGUUUAUGGAAUUUUACAUAAAUAAGAACUAAUUGUGUUUCAC
rnacentral:lncRNA from 1 species